rnacentral:rRNA from 1 species
UACGUAGGGGGCAAGCGUUGUCCGGAUUUAUUGGGCGUAAAGCGCUCGCAGGUGGUCCGUCGCGUCGUGCGUGAAAUACCCCGGCUCAACUGGGGGGGGUCGUGCGAUACGGGCGGACUGGAGGCCAGUAGGGGGAUGCGGAAUUCCGGGUGUAGUGGUGGAAUGCGUAGAGAUCCGGAGGAACACCAGCGGCGAAGGCGGCAUCCUGGACUGGUCCUGACACUCAGGAGCGAAAGCGUGGGGAGCGAACAGG